rnacentral:rRNA from 1 species
UCCCAGACUCCUACGGGAGGCAGCAGUGAGGAAUAUUGGUCAAUGGCCGGAAGGCUGAACCAGCCAAGCCGCGUGAAGGACGAAGGUGCCAAGCAUUGUAAACUUCUUUUGUCAAGGGACAAAAUCAGGCUCGAGAGCCUGACCGAGGGUACUUGAAGAAAAAGCAUCGGCUAACUCCGUGCCAGCAGCCGCGGUAAUACGGAGGAUGCGAGCGUUAUCCGGAUUUAUUGGGUUUAAAGGGUGCGUAGGCGGGCUGUUAAGUAAGGGGUAAAACCCCGGGGCUCAACCCCGGCGAGCCGUUGAAACUGGCUGUCUUGAGAUGUCGAGAGGUAUGCGGAAUGCGCAGUGUAGCGGUGAAAUGCAUAGAUAUCAGGAGGAACACCGGUGGCGAAGGCGGCUUACUGGACCAUAACUGACGUUGAGGCUCGAAAGCGUGGGGAGCGAACAGGAUUAGAUACCCCGGUAA